UGGGGAAUUUUGGACAAUGGGGGCAACCCUGAUCCAGCCAUUCCGCGUGAGUGAAGAAGGCCUUCGGGUUGUAAAGCUCUUUCGGCAGGAACGAAACGGCGAGCUCUAACAUAGCUCGCUAAUGACGGUACCUGAAGAAGAAGCACCGGCUAACUACGUGCCAGCAGCCGCGGUAAUACGUAGGGUGCGAGCGUUAAUCGGAAUUACUGGGCGUAAAGCGUGCGCAGGCGGUUGUGUAAGACAGGUGUGAAAUCCCCGGGCUUAACCUGGGAACUGCGCUUGUGACUGCACGACUAGAGUAUGGCAGAGGGGGGUGGAAUUCCACGUGUAGCAGUGAAAUGCGUAGAGAUGUGGAGGAACACCGAUGGCGAAGGCAGCCCCCUGGGCCAAUACUGACGCUCAUGCACGAAAGCGUGGGGAGCAAACAGGAUUAGAUACCCUGGUAGUCCACGCCCUAAACGAUGUCGACUAGGUGUUCGGUGAGGAGACUCAUUGAGUACCGCAGCUAACGCGUGAAGUCGACCGCCUGGA
rnacentral:rRNA from 1 species